ensembl:snoRNA SNORD58 Small nucleolar RNA SNORD58
CUGCGGUGAUGACUCUCUUAGGACACCUUUGGAUUUAAACGUGAAAAAAAAUUAAAUWUCUGAGCAGU